rnacentral:rRNA from 1 species
GAUGAACGCUAGCUACAGGCUUAACACAUGCAAGUCGAGGGACCGGCGCACGGGUGAGUAACACGUAUCCAACCUGCCCUUUACUCGGGGAUAGCCUUUCGACAGAGAGAUUAAUACUCGAUAUAAAGGAUGGGGAUGCGUUCCAUUAGGUUGUUGGUAAGGUAACGGCUAACCAAGCCUUCGAUGGAUAGGGGUUGGGAGAGGAAGGUCCCCUACAUUGGAACUGAGACCCGGUCCAAACUCCUACGGGAGGCAGCAGUGAGUAAUAUUGGUCAAUGGGCGCUAGCCUGAACCAGCCAAGUAGCGUGAAGGAUGAAGGCUUAUGGGUCGUAAACUUCUUUUAUAUAAGAAUAUGUAUUAUAUGAAUAAGGAUCGGCUAACUCCGUGCCAGCAGCCGCGGUAAUAC